GCCUCCAUAGUGAAACGGAUAUCAUGUUUGCCUUCGAAGCAAAAGUUGGGAGUUCGAAUCUCUCUGGGGGCA
rnacentral:tRNA from 1 species